CCCUUAGAGUUUGAUCCUGGCUCAGAAUGAACGUUGGCGGCGUGGAUUAGGCAUGCAAGUCGAACGGGUCCGGCCUUCGGGCCGGGCCAGUGGCGCAAGGGUGAGUAAGGCGACGGUAACCAACCCCAUGAUUGGGUAUAGCCGCGGGAAACUGCGGGUAAUCCCCAGCGACAUAUCGCGUCGGCAUCGACGCGGUAUCAAAGCUCCGGCGUCGUGGGACGGGCCGUCGUGGUAUUAGCUAGUUGGCGGGGUGAUGGCCCACCAAGGCUAUGAUGCCUACCGGGCGUGCGAGCGUGGCCCGGCACACUGGGACUGAGACACUGCCCAGACUCCUACGGGAGGCUGCAGUCGAGAAUCUUCGGCAAUGGGCGCAAGCCUGACCGAGCGACGCCGCGUGGAGGAUGAAGGCCUUCGGGUUGUAAACUCCUGUCGAGGGGGAGGAAGGCGCAAGCUUGACCGAUCCCUGGAGGAAGCACGGGCUAAGUUCGUGCCAGCAGCCGCGGUAAGACGAACCGUGCGAACGUUAUUCGGAAUCACUGGGCUUAAAGCGCGUGUAGGCGGAUGGGAACGUCGGCCUCUGAAAUCCCCCGGCUCAACCGGGGAAGUGGAGCCGAAACGACCCGUCUGGAGGGACGUAGGGGGACCUGGAACUUCCGGUGGAGCGGUGAAAUGCGUUGAGAUCGGAAGGAACGCCCGUGGCGAAAGCGAGGUCCUGGACGUCUGCUGACGCUGAGACGCGAAAGCCAGGGGAGCGAACGGGAUUAGAUACCCCGGUAGUCCUGGCCGUAAACGAUGGGCACUGGGUAGGGACCCUUCCGAUGGGUUCCCUGCCGUAGCGAAAGCGUGAGUGCCCCGCCUGGGGAGUAUGGUCGCAAGCUGAAACUCAAGGAUUG
rnacentral:rRNA from 1 species